rnacentral:lncRNA from 1 species
UGAUAUAGCCUGUGAAAUAAGCAAGCUUAUUUGAUACACAAGUAAUCCCAACCAAGCUCAUUGGAUAGCAAGACUAUGAAUUUGAUUACAAUAAUUAUCCCAAAGUUAUUGAGGGAUAUUGUGAUGCAAAUUAGAUCACUGGAUCACCAGAAAAAAAAAUCCACAAGUGGAUAUGUUUUUACCUUUAGUGGAGGAGCAGUGUCUUUGAAGUCGUCCAAAUAUACAUGCAUCACUCGCUCUACAAUGGAGUCUGAGUUUAUAGCUUUAGACAAGGCCUGUGAAAAAGCUGAAUGGCUCCAGAAUUUCUUAGAAGACAUUCCUUUUUGGCCCAAAACUUUGGCACCUGUAUGCAUACAUUGCGACAGCCAAGCAACAAUAAGAAUGGUUGGGAGCGUUAUGUAUGACGAGAAAUCUCAUUACAUUCGACGAAGGCAUAAUACCGUUAGACAACUACUCUCUAGUGAAAUUAUCACAAUUGGCUAUGUAAAGUCAAAAGAUAAUGUAUCAGAUCCGCUUACAAAGGCCUACAUAGGAGGCGGUUGAGAAGUCACCAAAGGGAAUGAGAAUAUGGACGGGGACAAGUCACUAUAGCAGUAACUCUAUCUAGAAGACUGGAGAUCCCCAGAUCUAGGUUCAAGGAGAUCAAACAAAGUUCUUAGUGACUGUUCAACAUUGUCAAAUAAAAUUUUGGUCCAUUCUCAUGAUGCAGAGAAUGUUCAGUACCGAGGAUAAAGCGUUUGAAUUUUUUUAAUGAUUUCUAAGUUUGAUAUGAGGUAUAUCAAAUAGUGUAUUUACGGGAUAAUACGUUUAGGAAUCACCUAUAUAAGUGUGAAGUAUAAGUCGCUUCAAGGAGAAUUUUGUUAGGCCAAUUCUCUAUGCACUUAUGAAACCAGGCUGUGUUCAUGGCUAAAACAAACACAAUAAUGAGAACCAAAAUAUGGAUAAGGAUUAAUUGUGUGACAUAUGUUGUCUAGGUAUACACUAAAGCUCGACAGUUCAAAGGUAUCAAAUCUACCGAUUGACCGAGUAUAUCCGAUAUAUGUUCACUAUGAAAGUUCAAAGGGAAACCUACUUAUCCCGAUGUAAUUAGUCCUUAGUUGAGAAUCACACAAAAUUUUUCAUGCAUGUUCAUCAUUCCCCAUUCAUGUGGGGAUUGUUUGGGUUGAAGUGUGGUAGUGUGUAUGGGAAAUGAGGGAAGAAGGUGAAAAGGCAACUUUGGCUUUUGCAGUUUGUCCCUCAUUGGUUAAAGACAAAUAUUUUGAUGGGUAUAAAUAUAGAAGCACUUCCUUAAGCUCUUAAAAGGAGCUAAGAGAAAGGGGCCUCGUUCCGUCGUCGUCGCUCGCUUGCUCGCUCGGCUUGACUUUGGCUUCGAAUUUGGUCAAUUGAUAUAAUUGAUUGACUUAAUUUUUUGGACCAACAAAAUGAAAUUAAUUAAUUAAAUAUUAAUAUUUUAUAUUAAUAUUUUUUGAGUGAUUGUUAUUUGUAAUGAUGGAUUAAAUUAAUUUCCGUGUUAAUUCUAUUUUGCAAUGAGGUUUAUAUAUGGAUAUAACGGUAACAAUUAGUACGUCACAAUUUUAAGCAACUGCGACUGGCUGUAUGAAUUAGCAUUAAUCUUGUAGUGAAAGUCUAUAUUCAAAGUAUAUAUGGAUAGGAUAUCAAAAUAUAUAGGGAACUUCUACAAAAACGCGGGUUAAGAGUACAGAUUCAAAGGCGAAAAUUCAAUAUUCAAAAUAAACAAACUAUUUGAUGUUAGAAAAUUUACUCUUAUGGAGUAUUACUUUUUGUAUAAUUUUUUAAUAUCUAAAGAAUGAAUUGAUCAAUUCAAAUUUUAACUUUAAUAAGUAAUCAAAUUAACUCUUGACAAGUAAAAAGUGCAACAAGGAAAAAAAGAGUAUUAAAACAUCUUUUAAAAGUUGAAGAGUUGUUUUCCAUUUUAAUCCCAUAUAUACGACCGGACACAAACCCCAUCAUUGAAAGUUUCAAAUAAAGGCACUGCAGAGCUUUAAGCAUAAUAAACUAACGAUUGAUUGUGGAAGAAAGUUACCUACUUCAAUAGUUGUAUUAAUUUAGAAGUAAAUGAAUAUUAGACCAUACUACUAACUCAAUGCUUUCAAGAAACUGCUUCAGCUUUUUCAAGUUUGAACAUUUCCCAGCUGUUCUCACAUACAAUAGCUAAGGAAGCUUCACCAAACUUUUUGGCUUGACCUGUAUUUCCUUUUCCUUCACUUGAAAGGUUUCCUCUCACAGGUCAGAAAUCCCACCCUCAAGAAAUAACUGUGACUUGUAGAUCAUCUAACAACUAACAAGUUCCACAAGCAGUUGGAUUCAGGAUUUAAACAACACGAGUUAUGAGUUAAAAGUAUGAAUAUACAUAAUUCUUUUACUUAUUUUACACACAUAUAAUCUAGCGUACAAAAUAUUUCGCGUUCACACAAUUGAAAAUCAUAAUUCUACUAAUGAAAACUUAAUUUUUACAUCGACCUGUCCACAAGGACACUCUGCACAUUGAAAUGUGGAGCAUUCUAUUGUUUGAUGAACUUCAAAACGUUUCAUAAAGGAAACAAGGCUCUUUUGAGUAUUGAAGUUUUGAUAAUUAAUAAAAUCAUUAAAAAUGUAACUAUUUUGUUGUUACACGGAAAGUUCUAGCAUAAUGUACUAAAUUCAUGUAUUGAUGCUCCAAUCUCCAGUAUAUUAUGCUGGGCCAAUAUAUUAUACUGGAGUUCCAGUAUAUUUAUGCUGGAACUUCAGUAUAAUAUACUGGAGUAUUUUCGAAUUUUAAAUAGUGUUAUCUUUCAAAUUUAUCUUUACUGAUAAAAUGGAGAAACAAAAUGUCUAAAAUAUGGUAGGAGCAUUAUCAAGUUAGCAAUUCUUGGCCAAAGUCGUGACACCAACGAGUUUUAAAAACCAUUACAACUUAUAUAGAAAAUUCUAACACACAAUGAGCUUUAUAGUAACACCCAAAGUCAAUCAAGGAAAAUUAUUGUUCUCUUGUCAUACAUACAUAUUUUCACAUAUAAAAUUAAGCUAAGUCUAUAUCUGUCUCAGAUGCAAACCAACUAAUAUCCAAGGCUACACAUGUACAAGACUUUAAUGGAGGAUCCUGGUCAAUUAGCUAAUAGAGAGGCUUUGUGAACUUAUCACAAACAGAACGACCUCCACUUGAACUGCAUAAAUGGCGACAACGGACUCUUGAUGUACUGGACAGCAGUAGAUUAGAUUAAGAUAGGUAAGGGUGUGAAGAGGGUAGCGGACGCUCAUAGAUUAAGGAUUGGGUCGUGGAACAUAGGCACUCUGACGGGNNNNNNNNNNNNNNNNNNNNNNNNNNNNNNNNNNNNNNNNNNNNNNNNNNNNNNNNNNNNNNNNNNNNNNNNNNNNNNNAAGUCCAUUGAGUUGGCGAAGGUUCUUCAGAAGAGGAGGGUUAACAUAGCAUGUGUCCAGGAGACUAGGUGGAAAGGGUCGAAGGCGAGAAAUGCAGACGGGUUUAAGCUGUGGUAUUCUGGGCUCGUGAGAGGUAAGAAUGAAGUGAGCAUCUUGGUAGAUAGGGAUCUAAGGGAGUCUGCGGUCGAGGUUAGGCGAGUGAAUGAUAGGUUAAUGUCUAUUAAGUUGGUUAUUGGGGGUUGCNNNNNNNNNNNNNNNNNNNNNNNNNNNNNNNNNNNNNNNNNNNNNNNNNNNNNNNNNNNNNNNNNNNNNNNNNNNNNNNNNNNNNNNNNNNNNNNNNNNNNNNNNNNNNNNNNNNNNNNNNNNNNNNNNNNNNNNNNNNNNNNNNNNNNNNNNNNNNNNNNNNNNNNNNNNNNNNNNNNNNNNNNNNACUGCAAGGUUAUUCCGGGAGAGUCCCUUUCGACUCUCCAUAGACUCCUAGUGAUGGAUGUCGGUCUCUGGGUGAAGAGGAAGAGGAUGGGUGCUCGGGGACAACCGCGGAUUAGAUGGGGUGUUUUGACUAUUGAGAAAACACAGGAGUUGAAGAGGAGGUUAGCUGAGGGAGGAGCUUGGAGAAGUUCUGGGGAAGCGGACGCUAUGUGGUCAGAGACGGCGAACUUAGUUAGGAAGGUAGCACGGGAUGUGCUCGGGGUAGCCAAGGGCUAUUCAGGUAGACAUCAGGGUGACUGGUAUAAAGAGCGAUAAGGGUAUGUCCAAGGACUGCAAGGUUAUUCCAGGAGAGUCUUUUUCGACUCUUCAUAGACUCCUAGUGAUGGAUGUCGGUCUAUGAGUGAAGAGGAAGUGGAGGGGUGCUCGGGGACAACCGCGGAUUAGAUGGGGUGCUUUGACUAAGGAGAAAGCACAGGAGGGGUGUUCGGGGACAACCGCGGAUUAGAUGAGGUGUUUUGACUAAGGAGAAAGCACAGGAGUUGAGAGGAGGUUAGCCGAGGGCGGAGCUUGGAGAAGUUCCGGGGAAGCAGACGUUAUGUGGUCAGAGACGGCGAACCUGGUUCGGAAGGUAGCACGGGAUGUGCUCGGGGUAGCCAAGGGCUAUUCAGGUAGACAUCAGGGUGACUGGUGGUGGAACGAUGUAGUCGAAGGAAAAGUGAGGUGAAGAAGGAGGCGUCUGCUAAGUUGGCAGGGAGCACAAGCGAAGAAGAACGAAGAGCGAACAAGGGGAUCUACAAGGUGGCGAGGAAAAAAGCAAAGCUGGCGGUUACAGAAGCUAAUAACACGGUGUUCGGUCGCAUGUACAAGGAAUUAGGGGAGAAAGGCGGGGACAUGAAGUUAUUCCAGUUAGCUAAAGCAAGAGAAAGGAAGGCACGUGAUCUUGACCACGUUAGGUGCAUCAAGGGCAAGGAUGGUAGAGUUCUGAUGGGGGAGUCUCAAGUCUAGCAGAGGAGGCAGGCGUACUUACGAGACUUACUUAACGAGGAGGGGGAUCGUAACAUAAAUCUAGGGGAGUUGGUACAUUCAGAGCAACAUAGAGACCUUGGGUAGUGCAGGCGUAUUAGGGCGGAGGAGGUCAUGGGGGCUUUGCGAAGGAUGAGUAGGGAUCGAGCGAGCAGGACUGACGAGAUCACGGCGGAGUUCUAGAAAUACAUGGGUAGGUCAGGAGUGGAGUGGCUCUCUAGGUUGUUCAAUGCGAUCUUCAGGACCAAGGAUGCCGGAGGAGUGGAGGUGGAGUGCAGUGGUGCCCUUGUACAAGAACAAAUGGGACAUCCAGUACUGCAGCAACUAUAUGUGUAUAAAAUUAAUAAGUCACACCAUGAAGGUUUAGGAGCGGUUGAUCUAGGCGAGAGUGAGGGAGAUGACAUUUAUAUCAGUGAACCAGUUCGAUUUCAUGCCGGGUCGCUCCACUACAAAAGCUAUCCACCUUGUCAGGAGGCCGAUGGAGCAGUUCAGGAAUAAGAAGAAGGACCUGCACAUGGUGCUUAUCAACUUGGAGAAGGCGUAUGACAAGGUCCCAAGGGAGGUGCUAUGGAAUUUCUUGGAGGUGAAGAGCUUGCUGGAAGCCUACAUCAGAGUAAUCAAAGACAUGUACGAUGGAGCUAAGAUUAGGGUUAGGACGGUUGGUUGCGACUCAGACCAUUUUCCAGUGAUUAUAGGGCUCCAUCAAGAAUCGACGCUUAGCCCUCUCUUAUUUGCCUUGGUGAUGGAUGCUCUAACCCGACAUAUUCAAGGAGAUGUGCCUUCGUGUAUGCUAUUUGCUGAUGACAUAGUCUUGAUAGACGAGAUGAGGGUCGCUGUUAUUGAGAGGUUAGAGGUAUGGAGACAGACUCUCGAGUCUAAGGGUUUCAAAAUAAGCAUAUCUAAGACAGAAUACCAGGAGUGUAAGUUUAGCGUUGAGCCGAGCGAAGUAGGCAGGGACGUGAUGAUUGGAUCUCAGGUCAUAGCAAAGAGGGACAGUGUCAGAUAUCUUAGGUCAGUGAUUCAGGGGGACGGAGAGAUUGACAGAGACGUCACUCGUCGUAUAUGAGCGGGGUGGUCAAAGUGGAGGCUUGCAUCAGGAGUCCUGUGUGUGACAAGAAAUUUUCACAGAAACUCAAAGGGAAAUUUUAUAGAGCUGUGGUUACACCUGUCAUAUUGUAUGGGGCGGAGUGCUGGCCAGUAAAUAACUCUCAUGUUCAGAGAAUGAAGGUUAAGAAUUAAGUUAUUCGAGAGAAGGUAGGGGUGGCCCCGAUGGAUGAGAAGAUGCGAGAAGCGAGGCUGAGGUGGUUCGGGCAUGUGCGGAGGAGAAGUCCUGAUGUCCCGGUGAGGAGUUGUGAGCNNNNNNNNNNNNNNNNNNUUCGAUAGAAGGUAGGGGUGGCCCCGAUGGAUGAGAAGAUGCGAGAAGCGAGGCUGAGGUGGUUCGGACAUGUGCGGAGGAGAAGUCCUGAUUCCCCGAUGAGGAGUUGUGAGCGGCUGGCAAUGGUCGGUGUACGACGAGGCAGAGGGAGGCCUAAGAGGUAUUGGAGAGAGGUGAUUAGACAUGACAUGGCUAGAAUGCGGGUUUCCGAUGACAUGGCCCUUGAAAGUAAAGUCUGGAGGUCUAGUAUCAGGGUUGUAGGAUAGGGGCUCCUAGAGUUUUUCGUACUCCUCACCCGGGGGUAGCGCGCCUCUCGCCUCACUGAAGCGAGCCCUCGUUGCUAUUUGUCGCCGCGCGCUAUCCAAAACACUGGGCGAGGCAGAGGGAGGCCUAAGAGGUAUUGGAGAGAGGUGAUUAGACAUGACAUGGCUAGAAUGCGGGUUUCCGAGGACAUGGCCCUUAAUAGGAAAGUCUGUAGGUCUAGUAUCAGAGUUGUAGGAUAGGGGCUCCUAGAGUUUUCGUACUCCUCAACCGGGUUUGGGUGAGGCUUGGCAGGGCUAUCCAUAGAUGAUUUGUGCAUUGGAUUGUGUCUCCNNNNNNNNNNNNNNNNNNNNNNNNNNNNNNNNNNNNNNNNNNNNNNNNNNNNNNNNNNNNNNNNNNNNNNNNNNNNNNNNNNNNNNNNGGAUUGUGUCUCCCUUAUGGUAGUUAUUUAUGGUAGUUACUGUCUGAUAUUAUUGCAUGCUAUUUUAUUUAUGGUUCUUAUGUUUAGAUAUUUAUUUACGCUAUUUAUGCUGAAGUUACUAAUGCUCUUUUGUUUUUAUUUUUAUUUUUCCUUUCCUUCACUGAGCAGGGUCGAUUGUAAACAGCCUCUCUGCCCUUUCGGGUAGGGGUAAGGCCCGUCUACAUAUUAGCCUACCCAGACCCACUUUGUGGGACUAUACUAGGUAGUUGUUGUUGUUGUUGAUAUUCCUACUCAAAUGUAGUAAAACCUUAAGAUUAAAGUAAUAAGUGUUCAUGUUGGGUACAAAAAUAAAUUUCAGAGCACAAAUUCAAACAUGAUCCCUUUUGAAACUAAUCGUCAAGAACCUUUGAAUUCCUGAACUACCCAUAAGUUAUGAACACAACAUCUAUGACUCUUAUCAUAUUUUCAUUCACAACAAAUGGAUUAAAAGAACUAGAAACGAACCUGAAUAGCGCUAAUUUUAAUUAAAUCUCGAAGUGAGUACAAGCAGAAGGAGAGCCUGACAGUGAAUUCCAAAGACGAAGAGCAACUAUUGAAUUUGUAAGCAAAUUGGAGCGCAACCGAAAACGGACUUCGGCUAGAAAACGAUUGACGACUCGAGUGACCUCGAUCUAAUACCAAAGCUCAAAUGACCUCCAUCUUUGAAACCAAAAAUCAAAGCGGACAGAAACUAUAGAAAAAUUUCGAUUCUUUUUUUUGACUUCUUUUUUGAAUGAAAACAAGAAAAGGAAUCGAAGCUUUUCUUUUUUUUUUAGAAUUUGAAGCAAAAAUCCAGAACCAAAAGAACUGGAACUUUUAGCAAAUUUUUUUUUUAAAAUCAAAAGGGGAAAAAAAAAUGAAGACCAGAAGAAACUAUGAACUAAACCUAAUUUUCCUCCAAAAUUCUCCCCUCUUCUCUGUCUAAAGGCUCCAAAUAUACAUCCUUUUCUCGAAGCUUCUUCUUCCUCAACAAGAAAUCAUGUGGGACCCCAAAAUCAAAUUGGAAAAUCCCCCUUUCACAAACAAAAAUCGGAAAAAUGGAGACUUUGGACAAAAAUCUUCAUCCAACGGUUCCCAUUUCUCCCAAAUUUCUUCCAAGGCCUCGGAUUUGUGUUUAAACAAAAGAAAUAAAAUAAGAAAUCCACGUGAAUCAGAUUGAAAUGAUAAGAUUUAGUACGGAAUGAAUGAAGUGGAAGAAAAAGAGAAAAGAGGAGAGGACCAUGGGCUAACACGGGCGAGCAGAAUCGCCCGAUUUGGGCGAGUUGGAGGUGACGACUCGGCAGAUUCAUGACGAAGAGAUGCGGCUGAUGUCUUUUUGGUUUAGGAUUAUGAUUUUUU